UACGUAGGGUGCAAGCGUUUGUCCGGAAUUAUUGGGCGUAAAGAGCUCGUAGGCGGUCUGUCGCGUCUGCUGUGAAAACCUAGGGCUUAACUCUGGGCGUGCAGUGGGUACGGGCAGGCUAGAGUGCGGUAGGGGAGACUGGAAUUCCUGGUGUAGCGGUGAAAUGCGCAGAUAUCAGGAGGAACACCGGUGGCGAAGGCGGGUCUCUGGGCCGAAACUGACGCUGAGGAGCGAAAGCGUGGGGAGCAAACAGG
rnacentral:rRNA from 1 species